AGUGAACGCUGGCGGUAGGCCUAACACAUGCAAGUCGAACGGCAGCACAGUAAGAGCUUGCUCUUACGGGUGGCGAGUGGCGGACGGGUGAGGAAUACAUCGGAAUCUACUUUUUCGUGGGGGAUAACGUAGGGAAACUUACGCUAAUACCGCAUACGACCUACGGGUGAAAGCAGGGGAUCUUCGGACCUUGCGCGAUUGAAUGAGCCGAUGUCGGAUUAGCUAGUUGGCGGGGUAAAGGCCCACCAAGGCGACGAUCCGUACCUGGUCUGAGAGGAUGAUCAGCCACACUGGGACUGAGACACGGUCCAGACUCCUACGGGAGGCAGCAGUGGGGAAUAUUGGACAAUGGGAGCAAGCCUGAUCCAGCCAUACCGCGUGGGUGAAGAAGGCCUUCGGGUUGUAAAGCCCUUUUGUUGGGAAAGAAAAGCAGCAGGUUAAUACCCCGCUGUUCUGACGGUACCCAAAGAAUAAGCACCGGCUAACUUCGUG
rnacentral:rRNA from 1 species